rnacentral:rRNA from 1 species
GGCCCUAUGGGGUGCACCAGGCGAGAAAACUUUGCAAUGUGCGAAAGCACGACAAGGUUAAUCCGAGUGGUUUCUGCUAAAGGAACCUUUUGUUAGUCUUAGAAACACUAACGAAUAAGGGGUGGGCAAGUUCUGGUGUCAGCCGCCGCGGUAAAACCAGCACCUCAAGUGGUCAGGAUGAUUAUUGGGCCUAAAGCAUCCGUAGCCGGCUCUGUAAGUUUUCGGUUAAAUCUGUACGCUCAACGUACAGGCUGCCGGGAAUACUGCAGAGCUAGGGAGUGGGAGAGGUAGACGGUACUCGAUAGGAAGGGGUAAAAUCCUUUGAUCUAUUGAUGACCACCUGUGGCGAAGGCGGUCUACCAGAACACGUCCGACGGUGAGGGAUGAAAGCUGGGGGAGCAAACCGGAUUAGAUACCCGGGUAGUCCCAGCUGUAAACUAUGCAAACUCAGUGAUGCAUUGGCUUGUGGCCAGUGCAGUGUUGCAGGGAAGCCGUUAAGUUUGCCGCCUGGGAAGUACGUACGCAAGUAUGAAACUUAAAGGAAUUGGCGGGGGAGCAC